rnacentral:rRNA from 1 species
GGAAGUGAAUUAAGGGCGUAUGGGGGAUGCCUUGGCUCUUGAAGGCGAUGAAGGACGUGUUAAGCUGCGAUAAGCUGCGGGGAGCUGCACAAAAGUGUUGAUCCGUAGAUUUCCGAAUGGGGCAACCCGGCUAGUUGAAGACUAGUCACUCCUCGAAUGAGGUAGAGCAAACCCGGAGAACUGAAACAUCUAAGUACCCGGAGGAAGAGAAAACAAAAGUGAUUCCGUAAGUAGUGGCGAGCGAACGCGGAUUAGCCCAAACCAGAUUUGUUACGGCAAAGCUGGGGUUGUAGGACUUCUUUUUAGAAAGAUAAGGAAUCUGAAUUGUCUGGGAAGGCAAGCCAUAGCGGGUGAUAGCCCCGUAAGAGUAAAAUUAUCAGACGUAGGAGUAUCCUGAGUAGGGGGGGACAGGAGAAAUCCCCUUUGAAUCUGCCGGCACCAUCCGGUAAGGCUAAAUACUUUCAAGAGACCGAUAGCGAACUAGUACUGUGAAGGAAAGGUGAAAAGUACCCCGAGUAGGGGGGUGAAAAGACCCUGAAACCAUACGCUUACAAGCGGUCGGAGCUGCGCGAUGCAGUGACGGCGUGCCUUUUGCAUAAUGAGCCUACGAGUUACUCUUCCUGGCAAGGUUAAGUGGUGUAGCCACGCAGCCGGAGCGAAAGCGAGUCUGAAUAGGGCGGUUAGUCAGGGGGAGUAGACGCGAAACUUUGUGAUCUACCCAUGAGCAGGUUGAAGUGUUGGUAACACAACAUGGAGGACCGAACCAGUUUACGUUGAAAAGUAUUUGGAUGACUUGUGGGUAGGGGUGAAAGGCCAAUCAAACUGAGAAAUAGCUCGUACUCCCCGAAAUGUUUUUAGGAACAGCCUCGGACGUAUUCUCAUGCAGGUAAAGCUACCGAUAGGACUAGGGGGAGUCAAAUCCUACCAAAUCCUGACGAACUCUGAAUGGCAUGAGAUUUAUCCGGGAGUGAGGGCUGGGGUGCUAAGGUCCCAGUCCGAGAGGGAAAGAACCCAGACCAACAGCUAAGGUCCCCAAAUCUAUACUAAGUUGAACAAAGGAGGUCUGAUUGCAGAGACAGCCAGGAUGUUAGCUUGGAAGCAGCUAUUCAUUUAAAGAGUGCGUAACAGCUCACUGGUCGAGCGAGGCGGGCAUCGAUAAUAAACGGGCAUCAAGUAUAGUACCGAAGCUUUGGAUUAUAUAUUUAUAUAUACUGGUAGGGGAGCAUUCUGAAUGCAGUGAAGGAUAGGCGACAAGCCUUACUGGAGCGUUCAGAAAAGCAAAUGUAGGCAUAAGUAACGAUAAUGUGGGCGAGAAACCCACACGCCGAAAGACUAAGGUUUCCUCAGCUAUGCUAAUCAACUGAGGGUUAGUCGGGGGCUAAGGGUCUAGCGAGAGCGACAAUCUAAUGCACAACAGGUUAAUAUUCCUGUACUUAUUAUGAGGGAGAAACAAUGACGGAGCAUCGUGGUUUUCAGGUACUGACGGAAUAGUGCCUUAGAGAAGAAGUCGCAAGACAGAAACGAGAGAGCGAAGAAGCUUCCAAGAAAAGUUGUGGAUCAAUACUUUAUAAUAACCCGUACCGUAAACCGACACAGGUGGUCGAGAAGAGAAUUCUAAGGCGCUCGAGUGAAUCACGGCUAAGGAACUCGGCAAAUUAACCCUGUAACUUCGGGAGAAGGGGGGCCUACUCGCAAGAGAGGUCGCAGAGAAAUGGCCCAGGCGACUGUUUAACAAAAACACAUGGCUAUGCAAAAUCGAAAGAUGACGUAUAUGGCCUGACACCUGCCCGGUGCUGGAAGGUUAAGAGGGGAUGUUAGCGCAAGCGAAGCAUUGAAUUGAAGCCCCAGUAAACGGCGGCCGUAACUAUAACGGUCCUAAGGUAGCGAAAUUCCUUGUCGGGUAAGU